rnacentral:rRNA from 1 species
UACGUAGGGUGCGAGCGUUAAUCGGAAUUACUGGGCGUAAAGCGUGCGCAGGCGGUUGUGCAAGACAGAUGUGAAAUCCCCGGGCUUAACCUGGGAACUGCAUUUGUGACUGCACGGCUAGAGUGUGUCAGAGGGGGGUAGAAUUCCACGUGUGAGCAGUGAAAUGCGUAGAUAUCAAGAGGAACACCUGAGGUGAAGACGGGUUGCUGGGCUGACACGUGACGCUGAGGCGCGAAGCCAGGGAGGCAAACGGGA